rnacentral:rRNA from 1 species
UACAGAGGGUGCGAGCGUUAAUCGGAAUUACUGGGCGUAAAGCGUGCGUAGACGGUUAUUUAAGUCGGGUGUGAAAGCCCCGGGCUCAACCUGGGAAUUGCAUUCGAGACUGAACAGCUAGGGUACGGUAGAGGGAAGCGGAAUUUCCGGUGUAGCGGUGAAAUGCGUAGAUAUCGGAAGGAACAUCAGUGGCGAAAGCGGCUUCCUGGACCAGUACCGACGUUCAGGCACGAAAGCGUGGGGAGCAAACAGG